CCAUCAGAUGUGCCCAGAUGGGAUUAGCUAGUAGGUGGGGUAAUGGCUCACCUAGGCGACGAUCCCUAGCUGGUCUGAGAGGAUGACCAGCCACACUGGAACUGAGACACGGUCCAGACUCCUACGGGAGGCAGCAGUGGGGAAUAUUGCACAAUGGGCGCAAGCCUGAUGCAGCCAUGCCGCGUGUGUGAAGAAGGCCUUCGGGUUGUAAAGCACUUUCAGCGAGGAGGAAGGUGGUGAACUUAAUACGUUCAUCAAUUGACGUUACUCGCAGAAGAAGCACCGGCUAACUCCGUGCCAGCAGCCGCGGUAAUACGGAGGGUGCAAGCGUUAAUCGGAAUUACUGGGCGUAAAGCGCACGCAGGCGGUUUGUUAAGUCAGAUGUGAAAUCCCCGGGCUCAACCUGGGAACUGCAUUUGAAACUGGCAAGCUAGAGUCUCGUAGAGGGGGGUAGAAUUCCUAGGUGUAGCGNGUGAAAUGCGUAGAGAUCUGGAGGAAUACCGGUGGCGAAGGCGGCCCCCUGGACGAAGACUGACGCUCAGGUGCGAAAGCGUGGGG
rnacentral:rRNA from 1 species